rnacentral:rRNA from 1 species
ACCUACGGGGCGCAGCAGUGGGGAAUAUUGCACAAUGGGGGAAACCCUGAUGCAGCGACGCCGCGUGAGUGAAGAAGUAUUUCGGUAUGUAAAGCUCUAUCAGCAGGGAAGAGAAUGACGGAACCUGAGUAAGAAGCCCCGGCUAACUACGUGCCAGCAGCCGCGGUAAUACGUAGGGGGCGAGCGUUAUCCGGAUUUACUGGGUGUAAAGGGGGCGCAGACGGCCAUGGCAAGCCCGGUGUGAAAGGUGCGGGCACAACCCGCAGACUGCACUGGUAACUGCCUGGCUGGAGUGCCGGAGGGGG